UACGUAGGGGGCAAGCGUUGUCCGGAAUCACUGGGCGUAAAGGGUUCGUAGGCGGCUGAUUAAGUCUCGCGUUAAAUCCCCGGGCUCAACUCGGGACCUGCGCGGGAUACUGAUCGGCUUGAGGGUGGGAGAGGCAAGCGGAACGUUGCAAGUAGCGGUGAAAUGCAUUGAUAUGCAACGGAACACCAAUGGCGAAGGCAGCUUGCUGGACCAUUCCUGACGCUGAGGAACGAAAGCCAGGGUAGCGAACGGG
rnacentral:misc_RNA from 1 species